rnacentral:rRNA from 1 species
UACGGAGGGGGCAAGCGUUGUUCGGAAUUAUUGGGCGUAAAGGGCGUGUAGGCGGCCGGAUAAGUCGGAUGUGAAAUCCCUCAGCUCAACUGAGGAACUGCAUUCGAUACUGUCUGGCUAGAGUCCGGGAGAGGAUAGCGGAAUUCCCAGUGUAGCGGUGAAAUGCGUAGAUAUUGGGAAGAACACCGGUAGCGAAGGCGGCUAUCUGGACCGGCACUGACGCUGAGGCGCGAAAGCCAGGGGAGCGAAUGGG